UACGUAGGGUGCAAGCGUUGUCCGGAAUUAUUGGGCGUAAAGAGCUCGUAGGCGGUCUGUCGCGUCGGCUGUGAAAACUUGGGGCUCAACCCCAAGCCUGCAGUCGAUACGGGCAGACUAGAGUGCGGUAGGGGAGACUGGAAUUCCUGGUGUAGCGGUGAAAUGCGCAGAUAUCAGGAGGAACACCAAUGGCGAAGGCAGAUCUCUGGGCCGUAACUGACGCUGAGGAGCGAAAGCAUGGGGAGCGAACAGG
rnacentral:rRNA from 1 species